UACGGAGGGUGCAAGCGUUAUCCGGAUUCACUGGGUUUAAAGGGAGCGUAGGUGGGCUUGUAAGUCAGUGGUGAAAUCUCCGUGCUUAACACGGAAACUGCCAUUGAUACUAUAGGUCUUGAAUGUUCUGGAGGUUAGCGGAAUAUGUCAUGUAGCGGUGAAAUGCUUAGAUAUGACAUAGAACACCAAUUGCGUAGGCAGCUUACUACACGAUCAUUGACGCUGAGGCACGAAAGCGUGGGGAGCAAACGGG
rnacentral:rRNA from 1 species